rnacentral:lncRNA from 1 species
ACAAGGAUGGCAUGGGAAAUGGGUACUCUUGUUGCUUAGCCUGCCCUUUGACUAGAACACUGCAAUCUACAGCAGUAUCAACCUGGUACCUUUUACCCCUGCUGACCGCUCACAUUCACCAAGAUAUAUAUGCUUAUUACUAAACACUUAUUGGUCUAUCCGUGUGCUUUCAGUUUGGCAUAAUUUCCUCAAAUGCAAUGCUCACUACAAAUAUACAGUAGGAGAGAAAAGAUCUGGACCAGUAUAAACCCAGGAGGCAAACUGAUGCACACUAAUCCUAGCCUUCAUGUUUCCUCUUCCCUACUAAAAAGUUAUUGAAAGCACAGGGUUCAAUAAGUUGCCUGUGACCCACACAUUGCUCAAUAUUUCACUCUGAGAUCAUGUCCACAAAAUGAGCAUGAAGGGAAAAAAAAUAGAGAAAUAAAAGGAGAGGAAUUCUACAACCUCCUGCAUUCAUCCAAAUCUUUGUCAGCAUCUCCAAAGCAAAGAGGUUGUUAAACAGGGAUCUAAACUGCUAGUAAAUGGAGUUGGAGGAAAAUUGAGGAUCGUCAGUCCCACCUUUGGACAAUGUUCUGCAGGCUUCUGUGGUAGUAUGGAGAGUUCAGGAGAAAUGUCUGAGAAGCUAAAGAAGAGGGAAACCACAGCCUAUUCAGUGAGCCAGUGGAAGGAUUUAUUACUCCAUUGUAUAUGCUGCUUGUGUUGAUUUGCCCCAUCUGGGAGCUGGGAAAGAGCAGUAUACCCAUCUGCUGUGCAGCACAUGAAGAGCAGGACCCAGCCAACAAGAGCUGCACGUAGAUGCUGAGAUGGAAGAAGACAGCAGCCCAGACAUGCUGCCAGCCUGUGACCUUCUGCAAGGCGGUCUCAGGGCCAGCAGUGUAAAGGACGAGAUAGAUCUUCCUCCCACUGUCAUCACAAGCUGAGAGAAGAGAUGCUAACAGCCUCCUGUGUACUGCAGUGGAAGGCAGCUGGCACAGAAAGCGUGGAACCACAGGAAAAGGAAAUCCAUUCAUCACAAUUCUGGAAUGCUGGAAAACUCACUGAGGAACUACAAAGGGCAGAUGGACCAUUACAUGAAUUGAAACAUAUUUUAAUGGAUACUCCCAGUGGUGAGAGAAUAUUGUCUCAUUAGCUCCAUGGGGAAAACAGUGUAAACCCAAAGCUGAGUAGCUCACCUAUCCAUAUGGUGGGUGAAAAGAGGUGUCCUUACAGCAUAUGCUACAGGCAACGAUGCCUCCUGAAUUGCUAGAAGAUCAAACUUCUGAGGUGUGACAAGGAGACGAUGAACAAAGAGUUUGUCUUUUUCCUGUCUGGGCUGUCCGAAUGCUUGUGUA